UACGUAGGGUGCGAGCGUUAAUCGGAUUUACUGGGCGUAAAGCGUGCGUAGGCGGUUUUGUAAGCCAGAUGUGAAAUCCCCGGGCUUAACCUGGGAAUGGCAUUUGGGACUGCAAGGCUUGAGUGCGGCAGAGGAGACUGGAAUUCCUGGUGUAGCAGUGAAAUGCGUAGAUAUCAGGAGGAAUACCGAUGGCGAAGGCAGGUCUCUGGGCUGACACUGACGCUCAUGCACGAAAGCGUGGGGAUCAAACAGG
rnacentral:rRNA from 1 species